rnacentral:lncRNA from 1 species
UUAGGAUGGUGUGGAGGUUUUUGGCUGGUUUUGGUUAGGUUUGGGGUUGAUGGAAGGCCUGGGGGAUUUGGGUUAUGGGAUGUUAUUAUGUUUGGUUAGCGUUGUGUCUGGUAUUAAGUUUUGCUGUGAUAAGUGUGUCUCUCAGGUUAGUAUUACGUUGGUAGGCUACAAUUGGAGGUUCUUGCCAUAGACUCCUCAGUGUGGGGUCAUUCUCCAAUAUGUUCCAGUGUUUACGUAGGAUGUUUGCAAUGUAUUUUGUGUUUGUGUUGUAUGGAAUGGAGAAAAUUGGGCGGCUUGUGUUUUUUUGGCUUUGUUUCCUAUUGAGUAGGUCUGUUUGGGUGUAUUGUAGGGCUUUGUUGAAGUUGGUGGUGAUGGUGUCGUGGUCAUAUCCGCGAUGGAUCAGUGCAAUCAGGAGGUGGUUUAGUCGUUGUUGUAAUUUGUUGUUGUCUGUAAUUAUGCGUCUGUAUCGUAGAGCCUGACUGUAGAUGACUGCGUUCUUGCAUGUGGUGGGGUGGAAUGAGCUUUUGUGUAGUAGAAGGGUUUUGUCAGUUGGUUUAAUGUACAGGUCUGAUUCCAGUUUGUUGUUUUUGUUUUUGUAGAUAGUUGUGUCAAGGAAGUUGACAGAUUUCUCAGAGAAGGAAAAGUCAAAUUUGAUGGUAUAAGAUUUUCAGGAGCUUGUUGGAGGAGCUCCUGUUCAAGUGCUGCCAUGAAUAUGUUUGCAUAGGGGUAAUUGUGUUGAUUUCUUUCAACAUGUCUAUACAGGCUUGGAUGCCUUGAUCAUUAGAUCAUGGAUGGUUUUAAGGCUUUGUGAGGAUAAGUUGGUUUUUGUAGUUUGUUUUUGUGUUCCAAAUUCAAUUUUGAGAUCGUAGAGUACAUUUGAUAUGUAUUCUAACAGGUUGCUGUUGUCGGGGUUUGGUGCUGUGAAGUUACUGGGUAGUUUAAAUGGAUGUUUUUUAGUGUCCUUUCUGUUUCUGAAGAAAUAUUUAUUGUACAUGCUUUUUUUAUAUUUCAGAAAAGAGGCAUAUAUGGUCUUGUAUGGUGUGUGUUUGGGUGUCGGGACAAAGGCCUUCUAUUAUUGAAUCAGUUUCCUGAUCGGAUAUGAUCAAUUUGUG